rnacentral:rRNA from 1 species
GGAGUUAGCCGGUGCUUCUUCUGCGAGUAACGUCACAGAUGUAAGGUAUUAACUUACACCCUUUCCUCCUCGCUGAAAGUGCUUUACAACCCGAAGGCCUUCUUCACACACGCGGCAUGGCUGCAUCAGGGUUUUCCCCCAUUGUGCAAUAUUCCCCACUGCUGCCUCCCGUAGGAGUCUGGGCCGUGUCUCAGUCCCAGUGUGGCUGAUCAUCCUCUCAGACCAGCUAGGGAUCGUCGCCUAGGUGAGCCUUUACCUCACCUACUAGCUAAUCCCACCUGGGCUUAUCCAUCAGCGCAAGGCCCGAAGGUCCCCUGCUUUCCCCCGUAGGGCGUAUGCGGUAUUAGCAGUCGUUUCCAACUGUUAUCCCCACAAAUGGGCAAAUUCCCAGGCAUUACUCACCCGUCCGCCGCUCGUCAUCUUCAAAAGCAAGCUUUUGAAAUGUUACCGCUCGACUUGCAUGUGUUAGGCCUGCCGCCAGCGUUCAAUCUGAGCCAGGAUCAAACUCUGA